CCCAGGAGCCUUGGUGGGGGACAGGGGACAUAGCGUCCUGCCCCAGUCCUCCUCCCCACUCCAUCCCCCCCAGUCUUGGCCAACUCAAACAGCCCCCUCCCUGUCCAUUCCCUGCUCCUGUUUACACCGGGAGCCCCUUAGUCAUUCUCUGGCUAGCUUUUCUACUCUCCCCAAUAUCCCUCCUCUCUUGGCUCUGUCUGCCCUUAUAAGUCCUCUCCCAGUGGCCCCAACACCUCCUGCCUUCCCUCUCACCAGGGCUGCCUUUGCCUGGCCCUCCCUUCCUCUGCUCUGAGCCAGGCCUGAACUUAGGGUUCCCUCCUAGUUGGAGCGGCUUCAGCACAGCCCUCCAGGUUGGGAAGCUUCUGGAAGCUGGCCUAGAAAGGUCAGCCAGGAGGAACUCCCUAGAGGUCAUCAGCCCAACCCACUCCUUCAGAAGAGGAAAUGAGUGUAGAGAGAUGAAGUGACUUGUCCAAGGUUACAUGGCUAGCCAGUUAGUGGUGAGUCUAGACCCUAAGCGUUCUGACUCUAAACCCAUGCCCUCUGCUCUCAGCCAACUGCCCUCCAAAUGCCCUGUCUCCUCUCAGAUUUUUCUGUGUCUUGUGUGUCUCUCAGCGUGUCUCUGGCCCAGCCUCUGUCUCCAAAUGUCUCUGUUUUCUCUCUCAGAUCUGACCUCUCUGGCACCCUCUGCGCCUUCAUCGCUCAGUAGGAAUGAUUUGCUGUGAUGACUGACUAUUAUUAAUCAUGGUCUGCUUGAUGGAGGGGCAGAAGGGGUGAAGGGCAAGGGCAGAUACUCACCAGGCUCCUGCUGUCACCAGCCUGCCUGCCCUGGAGGCUGGAGCUUUUGAACCAGAAGAGUGAGUUUCCGCAGAGGCACUCAGGAUACAGCUCUCCAGCACUGAAGAUAUUAUGAUUGUCAUUUUACUGUCAGGAAACUGAGGCCCAGAGACUGAAGCAAUGAAGCUGAGAUCUACAGAAAGAAAGGGGCAGAGGUGGAAUCCAAAUUCGAUCUCAGCUGAUUCCAAAGCUGUGGCUUUCCCUUGCAUUGUUAGUUUAGCCCUCUGAACUGGGCUGGGUUUCCACAGGGGGAAGAUUCUGGAGUAAGGAUCUUUAACUUGGGUCCAUUGUCCCUAGGGUGGGGUGCGGGAAGAUUGGGUACACGAUUCAUUAAUUCUCUGAAACUGGAGGGAAGUUUUUUUUUUUUUUAGGAAG
rnacentral:lncRNA from 1 species